UACGUAGGGGGCAAGCGUUGUCCGGAAUCAUUGGGCGUAAAGAGCGUGUAGGCGGCCCGGUAAGUCCGCUGUGAAAGUCCAGGGCUCAACCCUGGGAUGCCGGUGGAUACUGCUGGGCUAGAGUACGGAAGAGGCGAGUGGAAUUCCCGGUGUAGCGGUGAAAUGCGCAGAUAUCGGGAGGAACACCAAUUGCGAAGGCAGCUCGCUGGGACGUCACUGACGCUGAGACGCGAAAGCGUGGGGAGCAAACAGG
rnacentral:rRNA from 1 species